rnacentral:rRNA from 1 species
ACCAACCAGAGCGACGCGCGGCCUGAUGAACGCUAGCGGUAGCCCAACAGCAUGCAAGUCGAAUGGCAGCAGAAGGCAGCCGCCACGAGUAAGUGGACAAGAGUAACGGCCCAAAACCUGAUGCGAGGAGAACCAAUAAACGCGUCACCGCAAUCCGUGAGUAACCCUUCAAAAUUUUGUACACCGGAUGUCAGAUAAUGAAAUACAGAGGCACGGCCCACCGGCAGCGAUGAUCCCGAAGCCAACCAGGAGGAUGACCACCGAAACCAGACAACGGAAUUCGCCGGAAAGGCAGUGGGGAAUAUUGCACGGGCGUUCCGAUGUAAAAGCCGCGCGCAGCGAAGCGCCUGGACAAAGUACCGGUGCCGUAAGCCACAACCGUUAACGUCCCGCUGGCCCGCCGCAGCAGUCGCGGUAAUACGGAGGGCGUAAAGCGCCACCGGAAUUACUGGGCGUAAAGCGCACGCAGGCGGUCUGUCAAGCCGGAUGUGAAAUCCUCUGGCUCAACCUGGGGAACUGCAUUCGAAACUGGCAGGCUUUGAGUCUUGUAGAGGGGGGGGGUAGAAUCGUGUAGCGGUGAAAUGCGUAGAGAGUCUGAGGAAUACCGGUGGCGAAGGCGGCCCCCUCGACAAAGACUGGACGCUCAGGGGUGCGAAAGCGUGGGGAGCAAACAGGAUUAGAUACCCCGGUAGUCCACGCCGUAAACGAUGUCUACUUCUUGGAGGUUGUGCCCUUGAGGCGUGGCUUUCCGGAGCUAACGCGUUAAGUAGACCGCCCGGGGAGUACGGCCGCAAGGUUAAAACUCAAAUGAAUUGACGGGGCCCGCACAAGCGGUGGAGCAUGUGGUUUACCCGAUGCAACGCGAAGAACCCACUGGUUCGACAUAAUCCACGGAAGUUUUCAGAGAUGUGAGAAUGUGCCUUCGGGAACCGUGAGACAGGUGCUGUAUGGCUGUCGUCACUGUGUUGUGAAAUGUUGGGUUAAGUCCCGCAACGAAAGCGCAACCCUUAUCCUUUGUUGCCAGCGGUCCGGCUGGGAACUCAAAGGAGACCGCCAGUGAUAAACUGGAGAAGGUGGGGGAUGACGCUAAGUCAUCAUGGCCCUACGACCGUAUUACACACGUGCUACAAUGGCGCAUACAAAGAGCGACCUUCGCGAGAGCAAGCGGACCAUAAAGUGCGUCAGGUCCGGAUUGAGCUCCGCAACUUCGACUCCAUGUGAAGUCGGAAUCGCUAGUAAUCGUGGGAUCAGGAAUGCCACGGUGAAUACGUUCCCGGCCUUGUACACACACCGCCCGUCGCUACAAUCAUGGGAGUGGGUUGCAAAAGAAGCGCAGGUAGCUUAACCUUCGAGAGGGCGCUUACCACUCCAGAUUCAUGACUGGGGUGAAGUCGUAAAAUAAAAGGUAACCGUAGGGGAACCUGCGGUUGGAUCACCUCCUUA